AUUGCCCAGUAACGGCGAGUGAAGCGGCAAGAGCUCAAAUUUGAAAGCUGGCUCCUUCGGGGUCCGCAUUGUAAUUUGCAGAGGAUGCUUCGGGAGCGGUCCCCAUCUAAGUUCCCUGGAACGGGACGUCAUAGAGGGUGAGAAUCCCGUAUGGGAUGGGGUGUCCGCGCCCGUGUGAAGCUCCUUCGACGAGUCGAGUUGUUUGGGAAUGCAGCUCUAAAUGGGUGGUAAAUUUCAUCUAAAGCUAAAUAUUGGCCGGAGACCGAUAGCGCACAAGUAGAGUGAUCGAAAGAUGAAAAGCACUUUGAAAAGAGAGUUAAAAAGCACGUGAAAUUGUUGAAAGGGAAGCGCUUGCGACCAGACUCGCUCGCGGGGUUCAGCCGGCAUUCGUGCCGGUGUACUUCCCCGCGAGCGGGCCAGCGUCGGUUUGGGCGGUCGGUCAAAGGCCCUCGGAAGGUAACGCCCCCAGGGGCGUCUUAUAGCCGAGGGUGCAAUGCGACCUGCCUAGACCGAGGAACGCGCUUCGGCUCGGACGCUGGCAUAAUGGUCGUAAGCGACCCGUCUUGAAACACGGACCAAGGAGUCUAACAUCUACGCGAGUGUUC
rnacentral:rRNA from 1 species